GCCCCGUUAGCUCAGUGGAUAGAGCACUGGCUUGCGGAGCCAGGGGUCGAGCGUUCGAGUCGCUCACGGGGUACCA
rnacentral:tRNA from 1 species